CAUAUAUUUGUUUAUUGCAGCAUAUUAAAGACAACACAGUUGCAUGUGUCUACUAAUCUUGUCAUUUUAUAGAUUUUAAUAACAUUUUUAUUUUAAUAACCUGUAUUCACCGAACAACCGUCACUGAAUGAUGAAAUUAUAACUAUUUUGUAACAAAUAAAGUUUCAGUAUACAUUUAGAAGUAUUAUAAAUGGGUCAAAUAUAGACCUGGGCCUUAUGGCAUAAAGUCCUGGUAACCUAAUGAUCUGUAACUGUUUAACAGCAAUGGAGCUCAUUUGGAAAGAAUCAAGUGUGGUGUAACUACACAUAAUGUAACAUCAUUACUUCAAUAGGCCACUAACAUUUAUAGCAACAUAACCCUGCAUUCUACUUAUAACACAUCUGUAAAAUUAAGUUAACCCUUCAGUAUUGCUGUCACCCAGAGGUCUCACUGUGCUAUAAGUCAAAGUGAAUCCAGUGAUGAAAAAAAUCACAAUGCGCAGCACAACACAUCUUCUGUAUUAAAUUCAAAUUCUGUUCAUCUCAAGUAUCAGCCCUGCUGUAAGCGGAAUUGUGCUUUCAUGUAGGUGGGUAACAGACUAUGUAAGGGAUGUAAAGUAUGUGUGGAUCAGAAGAAAAAUUAUUUGUGAUUGACUGUGUUUGACCAGAACCAAACCCGUACCAAGUGUGGCUUUUAUGUUACCUGAGUCACAUUCAGUACGAACAAAUGGGAGAAAGCGUUUUUGAAAACAAGAACGAGCAUACUUGUAGGACUAGCCCAGGUUUUACCGCCUCCGUUUCUAAACACAGUCUUCCAUUUUGUUCCAACUGAAAGCAGCCCUGUUCAUGGCUUGUUUCUGAGCGUCAGACAAAUCCUCCAAACCUGCUUUGCCAUUCCCACACACUCUGUGGUACAGUAUACUGCAUCCGGGCUGUAACAUUCCCACAUACUCUGUGGUACAGUAUACUGCAUCCAGGCUGUAACAUUCCCACACACUCUGUGGUACAGUAUACUGCAUCCGGGCUGUAACAUUCCCACACACUCUGUGGUACAGUAUACUGCAUCCGGGCUGUAACAUUCCCACACACUCUGUGGUACAGUAUACUGCAUCCGGGCUGUAACAUUCCCACACACUCUGUGGUACAGUAUACUGCAUCCAGGCUGUAACAUUCCCACACACUCUGUGGUACAGUAUACUGCAUCCAGGCUGUAACAUUCCCACAUACUCUGUGGUACAGUAUACUGCAUCCAGGCUGUAACAUUCCCACAAUGAGUAAUAGUACAAGAAUGGUGCAGUAAUAGUAAAGGCCACUCUUAAAGUUAAGGACCACAGGCAGUUGUCAUUA
rnacentral:lncRNA from 1 species